UAGUUUUCUUUAAUACUGAGUGUUGCAUCGAUAUACGCUGUCCACGAUUAUGUACCGUCACGUAUAACCGCACGUGUUCACCGAGAAAAUGUUUUCGCGCUCUAUAAGGAUCAAUAGCAAGAUUUCUAAUUGCAGAAAAGACGAGAUCGAUCGAGUUCGAGAAGAAAGUCGUUUCUUUUGCUCUAGAAUUCGAUCUCUUUUGUCCCGGAAUUCGCAUUGUUGUGACUCGCGAGUUAUUUUAUUUAUUCUCAACCAUCUAUUCUCCUUUCACUUAUGCUACGAAUCUGACAUUGAGAAGAUUUGCUUCCUUUUUUUUUUCGUAUAAAUUUUUAAAUUAAAGAUUAAACGAAUUUUAUUUUUUUUUAGUAAAGUUUGUCAAGUUUUACGUGAUGCGUCAAUUACUAUUCAUGAAAUAUCGUUUGAUAAAACGAUCUUACUUUACGACGAGUAAACAAUAUAUGCAGUAUUUGGUUAGAAAACAGAUUUUGAAGUAUAACACUAACUUUAUAUAAAUUUUUUUCUCAUUUCUAUUGUUAUUCAAGUUUCUCCAGAAAGAAAAUUUUAUUAAUAGAAAUAACACAGAUACUCGCUUCGCGGAAUUAGCAGUUUCAAGAAUACUUAAUAAAGAUAAUAACUCCGUAUCAACCAAAUAUACUAAACUGCGCCAAUUAAGACACUUUAGUGUCGUGCUACUGAAGUCAACCAGGGACAAUCGGUGUCGAAUACCAACCACUACAAAUAUAUUGAUUCCCACGCACUAUCUUCUCACAACGAUUAAUUAACGUAGGAGUACUACUGCUUAUGAGAAAUAUGAGACAACACGAGCAAGUUAACUUGGAUUAUUAACUACUCAGAUUACACUCAUGUUUAAGACUGUGAUUCACCAUUUUGUCGUUAACUUAUCGUUAUCGCGCGACAUUGAGUUAUCUUCUAAUUGUUAAAAAAAAAAAUGACAGUCUAUCAAUACGAAAUAUAAUUGUUUAGGAAUAAAAGUUCGUCGAUUUGCGUUUUAACUUUGAAUUAUCUCGAAUUAUUAGAUACAUCGAAUUAUUAGAUACAUUCUGUAGAUUUUUGAAGCACUUAAUUUUAUCUAUUCUCGUUAUAUUUGAAAUGUUUAUAAAAGUAUGAGUCAGUUUUUGGUGUCUCGAUAUAUUAAUACGUAUGAUAAAAAUAAACUAAAAAUAAGUUCACGAAAUGGCUUUUUUUAAUAAUUUUGAAAUUCUGAAAUAAAAGUAAUUACAAUACUUUUUGAUACAUAUUUUUAUUUUACUUAAAAAAUUAAGUGAUUGAAUACUCUUGGAAAAUCUUUUUUCUCGACGAAUCAAAUGAUUUCUUUCGAAUCCACAAAGGAUCCAACACCGACAGAACAAGCGUUUCCUCGUUAAAAUGGAGGCUCAUGGUGCAUACGUAAUUGGGCCGCCGUGAAACUCGAAUGAAAGAAGCCCCUUCUUUAAGUCCUCCUCCAAGGAGAUACGGAAUCACCGUAGAAAGAAAUGCGGGGAGAAUAUUCCUGACCCAUUUUCCAUUAACUUUCAACCAUAAUACUGUAACUAGUUAUUUCUAUUGAGAAGAUUCCAGCAGCAAAAAAAAAAGAAGAAAAUUCGUUCGCAGCAGGAAGCCUCGUGGGAUCCCUCGUGCAAGGAAAAAACAAGUUUUCGAGUGAGAAAUAUCUUAGAAUUUUUAAGUAUGCACAAAUAGAAUAGAAUAGAAAAGUAUAAUACAUAUUUAUCAUUUAUCAAGAAUGGAAAAAUGGAAGAAAACACGAAAUUGAUAUCAUCAAUCAAUAAGAUUAUGUAAUGGUCAUAAGAUAUUUAAUUUAAAAUAAGUGUCGUAUCAUUUUUUUAUUUUCAUACUACUUGGAAAAGAGAUACUUGGAAGUGAUAAAAAUGAUGUGGAAAACUGAUUUCGAUCAAUUUUCUAUUGUAACAUUAUACGUUAUUUCAUAUUCAUAUGAUUAAAGUAAAUUAAGCAGAAAAAAAGAUGUAAUUUAAUUUCAGAAUUUGAAAUUACAAUGAUUUUGAAUUACGAGAGAGAUUAUAUAUUAAUAUGAAGGAAAAAAUAAAAUUUGUCAAUUUUCUCGAGUGAUAUAACCAUGUACGACUUGUAACAAUUUUGUGACAUUUUUUUGCACCAGUCGAGACAAAAUGUAACAUUCACGUAAAAAAGUUGAUCGAACGCGGUUAUUCUUCGAUGAAACUGUCGUUACGGGGUAAUGGCAUCAAAUGCGUAUGUAUUUAUAGUUCCGCAGAAUGCAGAAUGACUGCCUACGUUGAAAACUGCAUUCUAACCAACCUGCUCGCCAACGGCGACCCAGUUAUGCACCGGCGUUCUCGAAUUUCUAUCUCGAGACUUCACUCAUAAGUACUUUAUCGAUGAAAUAUUAUCAAGUUCCGGAAAAAAUUCGCCAAGAUAUAUGACGGAACAUUCAAGAAAACUAAAUGUUCUUAAAAUAUAUCCUCCUCUUUGAUUUUUUAGUUCUAUCAGACGUCUGUACAAUAUUUUACAUAAAAUACAAUAAAGUAUUUUUUAAAGAAAAAUUUUUGUAAUAAAAGUUGUAUUUGAAAACAUUAUGCAAUAUUAAUAUUGAGUUACUGUGGAGAUUUUACGAAAAUAAGCUUUCUUUUUCAAGUGGAAUUUAAUAAAUUAUUUAUGUCGUUAAAAAACGUUAAUUUAGUAACUUGAAGUUUAUAACGUUUGCUACUUUAUUAUUUAUACUGUUACUCUCUUUGUUUUCAAUGGGAUAAGUUUUAUAAAAUUCAUACAUUAAUACAAUUAGUUAUAAUAAUAUUUCACUGUUUGUAGAAAACAUUCUCCAAGUUUUUUCAAAAAAUAUACCGAAUAUUCAACGUGGCAGAUGUUUGGAUUGUUUACUACGUUUGUAACUGUAUUUAACAUAACAUAUUCCUUACCAUUCUGUACAACUAGGUAAGUUUGAAUUCAACUUAAUGAUCUGGGAACCUUCCACGAGAACUAUCUUCAAUUCGGUUGAACUAAACGGAAAGUACGGUAAAAUAGUCAACCCGGCGCGUAUGUUUGCGCAUGCGCCUCUUUCGUGCAACGGGAAUCGUCAUCAAACGUCUCGAACGCAUUAUGGGAGUGUUUUCAACGUUCACCCCACACCGAUGUCUCUGUAACGUGUAAACGGUUUGUUUUUUGGCGGAACGAAAUGACAGAUGCUAACCAAUUUUAUGAAACAUUUAUGACCGCGUCAAUACCUUCAUCGCAAGUGUUACAAUGCGUUGCAAAUGGAUUCUUAUUUGGUCGGACAAGUUAUUCGAAUCGAAUCGACAGUUGCAAUCAUGUCGUUCAACACAUUCGCUAUUUGAUUAUAAUAAUUUCAGAUAAUAUAGGGAAAAUAAAAUAAAAUAGAAUAUAAAAA